UGUCUUGUAAUUGGAAUGAUGGUGACGUAAAAUCUCACCAGAGUAACAAUUGGAGGGCAAGUCUGGUGCCAGCAGCCGCGGUAAUUCCAGCUCCAAUAGCGUAUAUUAAACUUGUUGCAGUUAAAAAGCUCGUAGUUGAAUUUCUGCGUUGCCCGACUCGGCUACUUGCCUUGUCUGGUUUCGCUUUUGGGGUUUUCCCCUUUUUACUUUGAGAAAAUUAGAGUGUUUCAAGCAGACUUGUGUCUUGAAUACUUCAGCAUGGAAUAAUAAAGUAGGACCUUGGUUCUAUUUUGUUGGUUUGUGAACCUU
rnacentral:rRNA from 1 species